UAGGGAAUCUUCGGCAAUGGACGAAAGUCUGACCGAGCAACGCCGCGUGAGUGAAUAAGGUUUUCGGAUCGUAAAACUCUGUUGUUAGAUAAGAACAAGGACGUUAGUAACUGAACGUCCCCUGACGGUAUCUAACCAGAAAGCCACGGCUAACUACGUGCCAGCAGCCGCGGUAAUACGUAGGUGGCAAGCGUUGUCCGGAUUUAUUGGGCGUAAAGCGAGCGCAGGCGGUUUCUUAAGUCUGAUGUGAAAGCCCCCGGCUCAACCGGGGAGGGUCAUUGGAAACUUGGAGACUUGAGUGCAGAAGAGGAGAGUGGAAUUCCAUGUGUAGCGGUGAAAUGCGUAGAUAUAUGGAGGAACACCAGUGGCGAAGGCGGCUCUCUGGUCUGUAACUGACGCUGAGGCUCGAAAGCGUGGGGAGCAAACAGG
rnacentral:rRNA from 1 species